rnacentral:misc_RNA from 1 species
UGCGGCUGGAUCCCCUCCUUUCUAAGGAGCCUACGACUGGAGGGGCGAUCUUGUAUAAGAUCACCGUUUCAGUAACUCCUAGGUCGACAGAUCUCGUCGGCUUGGCUCACCACACUAUCCGUACAUCUUGGUUUCCAAUUAGAACCGAUAUUCUUAUCGGGCCUAUAGCUCAGUUGGUAAGAGCGCACGCCUGAUAAGCGUGAGGUCGAUAGUUCAAAUCUAUCUAGGCCCACCAGGUUCUGGAGACGAUCUUCUAAGUCAGGGGAUAUAGCUCAAUUGGGAGAGCACCGCCUUUGCAAGGCGGGGGUUGCCGGUUCGAGCCCGGUUAUCUCCACCAUUAGGGGAUUCUCUGGUAGUGACCAGACAUGAUCUUUGACAAUCUGCAGGGUAAGAGAGCGGUAUCUAUCCUUAGAUACUUGAGUAAAGUUACUAAGGGCGCAUGGCGGAUGCCUUGGCGUCGGUAGGCGAUGAAGGACGUGGUAAGCUGCGAAAAGCUCCGGUUAGGUGCACACGACCGUUGACCCGGAGAUGUCCGAAUGGGGAAACCCGG